rnacentral:lncRNA from 1 species
CUGAUUUGGACCUAGCAACCAUGACUUUAACAUGUGAAUUCGGCCAUGGAUACUUCUAAUGAGAACCAGCAUCAAUUUUGACUUUGGUGUCAAGAUUAUUUGAUUCAUCUUUUAUAUAGGUUGACACCGACAUGUGCUUUGUUUUUCUUAUUGGCUAUUAAAUCCAGCUCCCAUCCUCUCCUCUAUGUUUGGGACCAGCAAUGGUAUUGUUCAGAAAACUAAAUUAUGCCUACAAUCAUAUAUUGUUGGUUGACCACCAAGUGCAAUUAUAAGCUUUUGUUCAAU